rnacentral:rRNA from 1 species
GAUCCUGGCUCAGGAUGAACGCUAGCGACAGGCUUAACACAUGCAAGUCGAGGGGCAGCAUAAAAGUAGCAAUACUUGGUGGCGACCGGCGCACGGGUGAGUAGCGCGUAUGCAACCUACCUAUCAGAGGGGAAUAACCCGGCGAAAGUCGGACUAAUACCGCAUAAAACAGGGGCACCGCAUGGUGAUAUUUGUUAAAGAAAUUCGCUGAUAGAUGGGCAUGCGUUCUAUUAGGUAGUUGGUGAGGUAACGGCUCACCAAGCCGACGAUGGAUAGGGGAACUGAGAGGUUGGUCCCCCACACUGGUACUGAGACACGGACCAGACUCCUACGGGAGGCAGCAGUGAGGAAUAUUGGUCAAUGGGCGGGAGCCUGAACCAGCCAAGUCGCGUGAAGGAAAGAAGGAUCUAUGGUUCGUAAACUUCUUUUGCAGGGGAAUAAAGUGCAGGACGUGUCCUGUUUUGUAUGUACCCUGAGAAUAAGGAUCGGCUAACUCCGUGCCAGCAGCAGC